UACGUAGGGACCGAGCGUUGUCCGGAAUCAUUGGGCGUAAAGAGCGUGUAGGCGGCCCCUUAAGUCCUGCGUGAAAUCCUGCGGCUCAACCGCAGACGGUCGUGGGAAACUGGAGGGCUAGGGUGCGGGAGAGGAGAGUGGAAUUCCCGGUGUAGCGGUGAAAUGCGCAGAUAUCGGGAAGAACACCCGUGGCGAAGGCGGCUCUCUGGAACGCAACUGACGCUGAGACGCGAAAGCGUGGGGAGCAAACAGG
rnacentral:rRNA from 1 species